UCGGGAAUAUUGCGCAAUGGAGGAAACUCUGACGCAGUGACGCCGCGUAUAGGAAGAAGGUUUUCGGAUUGUAAACUAUUGUCCACAGGGAAGAAAAAAGACUGUACCUGUGAAGAAAGCUCCGGCUAACUACGUGCCAGCAGCCGCGGUAAUACGUAGGGAGCAAGCGUUAUCCGGAAUUAUUGGGUGUAAAGGGUGCGUAGACGGGAUAACAAGUUGGUUGUGAAACCCCUCGGCUCAACUGAGGAACUGCAACCAAAACUAUUAUUCUUGAGUGCAGGAGAGGAAAGUGGAAUUCCUAGU
rnacentral:rRNA from 1 species